rnacentral:misc_RNA from 1 species
GAUGAAGAACGCAGCGAAUUGCGAUAAGUAAUGUGAAUUGCAGAUUUUCAGUGAAUCAUCGAAUCUUUGAACGCACAUUGCGCCCGCCAGUAUUCUGGCGGGCAUGCCUGUUCGAGCGUCAUUUCAACCCUCAAGCCCCCGGGUUUGGUGUUGGGGAUCGGGCUGUACUCCAGCCCGGCCCCGAAAUCUAGUGGCGGUCUCGCUGCAGCCUCCAUUGCGUAGUAGCUAACACCUCGCAACUGGAACGCGGCGCGGCCAAGCCGUUAAACCCCCAACUUCUGAAUGUUGACCUCGGAUCAGGUAGGAAUACCCGCUGAACUUAAGCAUAUCAAUAAGCGGAGGA